rnacentral:rRNA from 1 species
CCUACGGGUGGCAGCAGUAGGGAAUCUUCCACAAUGGACGAAAGUCUGAUGGAGCAACGCCGCGUGUGUGAUGAAGGGUUUCGGCUCGUAAAACACCGUUGUAAGAGAAGAAUGACACUGAGAGUAACUGUUCAGUGUGUGACGGUAUCUUACCAGAAAGGAACGGCUAAAUACGUGCCAGCAGCCGCGGUAAUACGUAUGUUCCCAGCGUUCUCCGGAUUUCUUGGGCGUAAAGCUAGCGCCGACGGUUGGUUAAGUCAGAAGUGAAAGCCAACAGCUUAACUGUGGAAGUGCUUUGGAAACUGGAUAACUUGAGUGCAGUAGAGGAGAUUGGAACUCCAGGUGUAGCGGUGAAAUGCGUAGAUAUAUGGAAGAACACCAGUGGCUAAGGCGGCUCUCUGGACUGUAACUGACGUUGAGGUUCGAAAGUGUGGGUAGCAAACAGGAUUAGAUACCCGUGUAGUC